UUUUUCCCCAAGUGGAGAGAUGCUUGGCAUCUUCCCUGACAGUGACAGAAACAACCUUCAGGCUUCCCGUUAUACAUAUGCAGUUAAGGCUACCGCUUCAGCAGAUCUUACCCAAUUUGU